rnacentral:lncRNA from 1 species
CCGCUGCCCUCAUACUCUCUCAACCUCCCCUCCCUCUCUGAAGAACCCUAAACCCGCCGCCCUUAAAAUCUUCUCCUAUUCCCACUGAAUAUGGGAUUUGAUUAUCACUUCUUACCAUAUUCGACCCAUUUUUGGUACUGGCUGUUCUCCUAUAGUGCUUGCCUAAACAUGGCAAGCAAAUCUCUUCAAAAUCAAACCAAAAUUGGUUCAAACCCCUGAUUUUGAGUAUUAUUCUGUCUAUAUUCGUCCUAUGCUACUGUGAGUCCGAUUAUUUAUUUAUAUUCUGUUGAUUUUUACUUUACCUAAAAACUGGGGUUUACAUAUCCUUUAAAUUGAUUUUUUGACCGAUUUGCAUGUUUAUUUACCUUAUUUGUUUCUUAAAUCACUCUGUCUCCCUUGUUUGAUAUUCGAUUUUACUACUAUAUAAACCCCUCCCCCAUUCCCUUCUAAAGGGACUUCAAACGCUAAAAUCACUACUGAAAAAUUAGGGCUUUACUCUGUGUUCAUUCAUUCUCUUGUUUUUGGAUCUUGGCCGGCUGAAAGACAAGGCCACCAGAUUUUCUACUUUUCCGACCUUUCUUGGGUGUGAGCACGGCCCUGGUUAUUUGAAACCAUUGGGAACUUGACGCAACUGGGAUUCUGGGUCAUAUUGCUCUUCUUUUCUUGUUUGUUGAGCAAUAACUGGUUAGUUUCUCAACCUUCACAAUGUUUAUUCCAUUAUGUUCUAAUUAGCAUAUCUAUGUUUUCUGAAAUUGCAUGACUUGAUAUAAUCCCUUGACUUUCUUCAUGUAUGAUUCUGCCUAUAGCAUGAACUUCUCUAGCAUUGUCUCACGCCUAAACUGUUGGUUCUAAAAAAAAUGUCUUUGUAUCUAACUUAGGCAAUUUGGACAGUUUGAAGCAUGUUUAGCUUAAUGUGUUGACAAUCUGAGUGUUUGCGUUGGCUGUGUGACCUAAUCCUGUUUCCUGCUCGAUUCUGAAUUUCUUAGUUAUUAAUUUAUGUUAUUAGUAUGCCCUAAUCUGUUAAUGCCUUCACUCUAGUUGUAAUUUGCUCCUAUGACUAUGUUUGUCACUCAGUAUGUUCUCACUCUGCUCAAUUCUGUACCCCUAGCAAUUAAGUGAAACCUCUUAGACUAGUUUUGCCUAAAUUAUGAUUCUGCUUGCCUCAUUAGUAUAAGUUGUAUUGUUUAAGCCCUAGUGUUUGGAAUAACUUGAUCCUUAGGUUUGAACUUGUUGAUUUAAUGAUAAUUGUUUGUCUUGCUAGCCAAAUGUCUCUUUGCUCAUUAACUUUGUAAUCCCAGAAGUUUAAGACUCCUUACCUCUUACAAAUAUACCCUGCCCCAAUGUGUUAUAUGACAACUUGCAGCAUUAACUAUUUUCUUGAACUCAUGCACCCUCUGUGUUGAUAUGUCCAUUAUGUGAUCACUUUGUAGUGUUUGACUCCAAAAAAUGUAAAUGCACUUUUCUAAACCUUGUUACUUUGCUACUAUUGUCAUUGGUUGUUUCCCUGUUCUGAGUCUCUAAUUCUUGGCAGGCUGAAAUCCAAGGCCUCCUAAAACCUCUCUAUUAACCUCCCUAGUGUGAGCACUGCUCGGGGUCCAUUUUGAGACCCUUGUGAACUCUGAUACACUAGGGCCUAAUGUUCUUGGCCACUUUCUUCUUGACUGCUCAAUUCUAUCCCUCUCUAUGCCUAUUGAAUAAGCUAAUUGGCUUGUGCAAAUGACUAUUUUCUGAAUCUUUUGAUCAACUAUGGUUAUUGGGUAUCAUCUAAGUUCUCUUGUGGUUUCUAGGCUGUGUUAAAACCUGCAUGGAUACAAAAUUUGAAGGCCUGGACAGGCUGGGUGUACUUUGGGCCUGUCUUAGGCCCACUAUAGUGAUUUUGUAACUUUGUAAUUUGAUUCAUUCAUUAGGCCUG